ACGAACGCUGGCGGCGUGCUUCACACAUGCAAGUCGCACGCUGAAGCUCAGCUUUUGUUGGGUGGAUGAGUGGCGAACGGGUGAGUAACACGUGAGUAACCUGCCCCCUUCUUUGGGAUAACGCCCGGAAACGGGUGCUAAUACUGGAUAUUCACUGGUCUUCGCAUGGGGGUUGGUGGAAAGGGUUUUUCUGGUGGGGGAUGGGCUCGCGGCCUAUCAGCUUGUUGGUGGGGUGAUGGCCUACCAAGGCUUUGACGGGUAGCCGGCCUGAGAGGGUGACCGGUCACAUUGGGACGGAGAUACGGCCCAGACUCCUACGGGAGGCAGCAGUGGGGAAUAUUGCACAAUGGGCGCAAGCCUGAUGCAGCGACGCCGCGUGAGGGAUGGAGGCCUUCGGGUUGUGAACCUCUUUCGCUCAUGGUCAAGCCGCAACAAUGGUUGUGGUGAGGGUAGUGGGUAAAGAAGCGCCGGCUAACUACGUG
rnacentral:rRNA from 1 species